AAGAUUUCGCCUCCAUGGUUUAACCCGUCCGCUGCGAUUGGCACGGAUUUGGCCUUCACUGGUAGCCUGGUAACAUACACUCCCAGGUCUUUCUCUGCCUCUGUGGUGGAUAGUGGAGUGUUUCCCAUGUGGUAUUGGUGUGCUGGAUAUCCCUUCACUGGUAGCCUGGUAACAUACACUCCCAGGUCUUUCUCUGCCUCUGUGGUGGAUAGUGGAGUGUUUCCCAUGUGGUAUUGGUGUGCUGGAUAUCCCUUCACUGGUAGCCUGGUAACAUGCACUCCCAGGUCUUUCUCUGCCUCUGUGGUGGAUAGUGGAGUGUUUCCCAUGUGGUAUUGGUGUGCUGGAUAUCCCUUCACUGGUAGCCUGGUAACAUUCACUCCCAGGUCUUUCUCUGCCUCUGUGGUGGAUAGUGGAGUGUUUCCCAUGUGGUACUGGUGUGCUGGAUAUCCCUUCACUGGUAGCCUGGUAACAUACACUCCCAGGUCUUUCUCUGCCUCUGUGGUGGAUAGUGGAGUGUUUCUCAUGUGGUAUUGGUGUGCUGGAUAUCCCUUCACUGGUAGCCUGGUAACAUACACUCCCAGGUCUUUCUCUGCCUCUGUGGUGGAUAGUGGAGUGUUUCCCAUGUGGUAUUGGUGUGUUGGAUAUCCCUUCACUGGUAGCCUGGUA